rnacentral:rRNA from 1 species
GGGGAAUAUUGGACAAUGGGCGCAAGCCUGAUCCAGCAAUGCCGCGUGUGUGAAGAAGGCCUUCGGGUUGUAAAGCACUUUUAGUAGGGAAGAAAGACUCAGGGCUAAUACCCUUGGGGGUUGACGUUACCUACAGAAAAAGCACCGGCUAACUCUGUGCCAGCAGCCGCGGUAAUACAGAGGGUGCAAGCGUUAAUCGGAAUUACUGGGCGUAAAGCGCGCGUAGGCGGGUGUUUAAGUCGGUUGUGAAAUCCCCGGGCUCAACCUGGGAAUUGCAUCCGAGACUGGACGCCUAGAGUAUGGUAGAGGAUAGUGGAAUUCCCGGUGUAGCGGUGAAAUGCGUAGAUAUCGGGAGAAACACCAGUGGCGAAGGCGGCUAUCUGGACCAAUACUGACGCUGAGGUGCGAAAGCGUGGGGAGCAAAC